CAAGGCCACAACCCCAAACCAACCAACCCACCUCUCUCUUUUUUGCACCGCCCAACGCUGCUGGGCUGCGCGUGGCGGCGUCCACCGAGCCACCGAGUAACUCCCGGCGCCGGCGACUUCUCCCAAUCCUCUUCCAGUGCUCGCGCCUCAAGCUCCACAGCACCGCCGCGAUGCUCUUUCUUCCAGUGCUAGCGCCAUCGGUUUUGUCAGUAGCGACCUAGCUUGCUCUUGCUGCAACGCCGUGCCGCGGACGUCCGUGAUGCGCUCGACGAAAUGCUGCGUCGGGCCAUAGGCGAGUGCAGAUGGGUCCUUACUCCUUUGGCCCCGUGUUCCAGCGUCGUUUAGGCCCCGCACCUGCGGCGCUGAUCCGCUCGUGGUCGUGGACAUCUGCAACGGCCACGGCCUCGUAAUUGUUGCCACCUGUGGCCUGCCGGUCGAAGCACUCUUUGCCUCCGCGCGCAGUGAUAGGAGUUUACGUGGAUAAACGGUCCCGGGAGGUGGGAGCACCUGGUACACGAGUGUAUCGAUAUUUUGCGUAAACUCCAUCUCGAGGCCAUGGUUCAUGGCACGCUCUGAUUGAGGUGAGGGGCUGAUUAACUGAUUCUGAUCAUGGGUGAGGUGACAUGACGAUUGAGGUUGUGGGAGUCAGUAGUAGGUAGAAUGUGAUGGAUAUAGAUGAUCUCCUGGGCAGUGUGGUACUGAGCAUGAGAAAAAAGGUGGGUGCUAGACUGUCAGGGCCCGGAGAAGAGGAGGAAAACAUGAAACCUGUCUUGAGGGGUAAAGGUUGUUUCUGAAUGUUUCAUAGGCAAGUUUUUGUACUGAAUUCCAUGUCGAUUUACAUGUCUAUUAUUCUAGAUUCUGUUUAUUUGUUAGAGAUUAUGGUUCUUCAGAUUAGAGUUGAACCACUGAUGAGAGGAUGACACAAUUGCCAUUUUGUAAUUAUUGAUAUGACCACCUUUCUGCUUCCUAUGACAUUUUUCUACUUAUAAAUAUAACCACGUAAUGUGUUCCUGGGAAUUACUUUAAUGAUAUUUGAAUUCAGCAUUUUUAGUAAUCUUGUGAGGACUCCAUAGUACCUUAUAUGACCUUUAGUUAUUGCUACUCAAAAUAUUAGUUCGGUAGAUGGCUUUGCACAGUAUGCAACCAAUGUUGCCAUAUGCCAGUGUUCUUUUGAGGCAUAUUGCCUAUAUAUUUUUCAAUAUAGGUUUUCUUCAUCUAUUAUUUUCUCUGUGCUUCACAUUGCAGGAAACAAUGUAUUGGACAAGUCUGAUCUCCAAUGUACGUCAAGGGUUCUCAAGUAUAGACUUGCUGAAGGGAAUGCAAUAUGCCUUUUGUUUUAGGACAUAUAUUCGUUAUGAUAUUUUUAAAUCUGUUCUAAUGAAUAAGUCUGGCCAUCUUUGUGCUGGCAGAAAAGAUUGCAGAAAAGCUUUUUAAUUCUGUAGCAACUAGAUUUGAGGGGAGAUUCGGGAUCCUCCACAAGAACAUCCUUAACUGUUUAGGUGUCAGUCUUGGCGCAUGCUGCCAGCUACCUUGGAGUGAGGAAAACCACAUGUCACUGUUUUUGCAGUAGUACAUGGUGUGAGCAAAUCUGCAUAUCUUGCAAAAUGUUAUUCUCCUUCCACGUUACUUCUGCUAAAACUGUUUACUAUCUUGAAAUCGCACAACUUGCAUACUGGCAUAUUGGGACUGGCUUAUCCUCAGCACAAUGCUGGCAACAUGCGACACCUUCUGCAUGCUUAUACUAGCUGGGUUCAAAUAGUAUCUUAACCCUUGUAUUGAAUAAAUUAAUAAUAAUAUAUUUUUGUACAUUUGGUGGUCUUGAGCUUCAUGUGGUGCUUAACCUUUUUCUUUGAAAUUUCAGUGAUUAGGCAUUCCUCUACAUCAAGUACAAUGGAAAGACAAAAUCUUUCUGAAAUGGCUGGCUGAAAUGGCUGGGCUGGCUGAAGCUGGAUGGGCUGGCUGUUUCAGCAAGCCAACCAGCCCAGCCACUUCAUCCCAGCCGAACAGGCUGUAAAUUGUCAUAUAGUUUGCUUCUAAAAUUUCUACGGGCCAUAGUUAUCUUUCAUUUUGAUUUCCCCCUCUCCUUACAUCUAAAGAGGACGGACAUAAACUUGACUUGCUCCAAUGCCCAUCUAGUGUUUAAGUGUUGUCAUGUGCCAUCAGGCUUAAAAUUGACGAUUGCCAUUUGGUAGAGGCUUCAGAAUCACAGCUGUUGCUCAAUCUUGCUCAUUGUCACAUAAUACAGUAUACAGUCUGUUGGUUUUGUUUGCUUGGCAUGUUCAUCUGGGGACUCAAACUGUAAACCUUAGUACAAAUUCAUGGCGUUCAUAUUUUCGUUAGAUAGGAUAUUUCUUUGUUAAUCCAUAAGUUAUUAGUCUGCGGUUUUAUGACUAGGCUGCAACUCUUGAACAUCCAAUGCAUCUUCCUCUGCUAAUUGAUUUGCAGGCACGCAGCUUCCAUUUUAUCACGCAGCAUAGUUGGUUUUUCAUCUCUUUUUGCUUCUUUAGGCUGCUAUUAUGAGUCAAACAUUAUGUCCAUAACUAUCUUUGUUUUUCAUCACCUGUUUUUCACCUUCUAUGGGUUGGGUAGUUCAUGAUCUAUUCCUGAAGAAAGUAAAUGCACGCAUUCUGCAGCUAACCAUGGAUGUCCAUUAUUGGAUCUUGAUGUAACCUCUUUCGGCACAACUUUUUCGUCAACCUGAUAAACAUUCCAGGUACGUUAUAUCAUCCUUUAGCCAUCGUGGAAAGUCUGUGUCAAAGGUUCUUUAUUAUAAAUUAAAUUUUCUAUGAAGAGCCUUCUUCUUGAAGAUAAAAGAGCAUCUCUUUUCAUCUUCUCUUUCGUUGAUCAGAUGCCUUACGGCAGACAUGUGUUUGGCAUUGACGCAUUAGCCAAUUUCUAGGGACAUAUUCCUGCUUUCCAGAAAUUUAAUACCGAAACAUUAUCAUAACGUCAAUUCUAUGGUAGGCAAGAGGCAAAAAGAAUUUAGUAUUAGAAACAAAAUUUGUAUGUUUGAUGAAGACAUGAUAUUCUGUAGAAAAGCAUAUUUCAUGAGCUUCGUCGGUUUGCAAGUCCAUUGGCCCAGGAAAGCUUUGAGAAGCGAGAGGAUCAGCUUUAAUUUCCUUCUACAAUGAUAUUUUGUCACGCCGCUUCCUAGUUCUUUCUUGCACAUAUGAAGAUAGUUUCAUUCCCUGAAAUUGACUACCAACUAUAUUCUUGUUUCAUGGCAUGAAUUUAGUAACAUUAGCUGAAGGUUCUCCCUGUCUUCUCAUUACAAUUGUUUUUUCAGGUAUACUGAAGCUCAGUUGGCACUUGUAUGCUUGUGCAGAGGCACACAGCUACAAUUUGUCGGCUGAGGGAAAAGAGAGCUAGUUUCUUCAUUACAAUUGGAUUCGAAUUUUGUAGUGCAGCUAUCAAACGGACUGGCCAAGGUAAGUGAAUGAUUCUUUUAGGCAUCUCUUGCUAACUAGUGCACGUAAUCUUACACUUGUGUUGUUUCUGCUACACAAACAAUUCUGUCUGUUGGAUUGGCGAUGUUAUUGCCAACUUGACCCAGGAUAUUUGGGCAUCUAUUUGGCAUAUAUUUGCCUGUGCGUCUUGACUCAAAUAGCUUCUGAAAAUAACUUGUGCGGAUGCAAAUCUUCAGCACAAACUUAGAAUCUGCAGUUGACCUACUAAGAUCAUCUUACUGGACCAUGUAUGCAUUAUUUAUGCUCCACCGUUGCCAUAACGUCAGAUGAAUGACAUGUCGCUUGAAAGCACAAUUCCAUCUCCAUCAAAGAACUGAUUCCUGAAGUCUUGUAUGAUACAUUGAAUACUCACAGUGACUUGAUUUUCAUUUAGAGUGCAGGAGAUUGGCUAAACAAAAAAGAACACUGGUCUGUACGUCCUAUUUUCCAGGUACACUACUCUUAUGUUAAGGCCUGUAGAACUGAACUUUGAAGUUCCUUGCAAAGGCACCUACUUCUCCUUUUCGCAGCUGUUUUGCUACUUAGUUAUCGCCACCAAAUGUUCUUGUGACAGACUCUUAGUCAAAUGCUUGUUCAACCUCACUGUUUACCAUAAUAUAUAACUGUAGUAAAUCUCAUUGUUGAACCUCAAACCUCCUGAAAAAGCUGGUUGCAUUAUGGACCUUAAUUGCAUGUUACCACAGCCUUAUAGACAAUAGUAGGGCAUUGAAGAGAUUGCUGAAGGGAAAAUAAAACAUAGAUGCUUGCAUCAUUCUGUUCGUUCUUUGCACCUCCUUUUGCUUGAUCAAAAGUAGAUCCAAAAACUAUCAUUCUUCCCCCUAACCACCUUUACUUCUUUUUCCUCCUCCGCAAGCUCAACUGGUAGGCGUCGCACGUACGGAUAAUGCUAGGCUAUUACUAGCCGUAGUGAGGGCUUAACAGCCCUAAGCCAUCUUUUCCUCACCAGAAACACUAUCUUAUACAGAGAAAAGGAGGGCACAAAGGCUGGACGAUGCAUGGUGCGGUGUGGUGUGAUGUGAGUGACCCCAUGCAUCAACAUUGUAGUUGGCACCGAAUCCCACUCUCCGAGGCAGCUUCACCAUGACACAAUCCAUCCAUCUCUUUUCCUUUUGGUUUUGGCUCUUAAAAGUUGCGUAUCUUUAGCUCUUUCCAAGGGAGGGUACUUCCAUCCAGCCUCCCCCCACAACAAUGUUCUACCACUAGUCCACUACUCAGUCUGUCACUCAUGGCCACCACCGCGCGCAUUGCGUUUCCUGUUUGGUCCGGCCUCCAGGAUGGAUGAUAUCUGGACCCGUAGGAACGAGAUCUGGACACCGGCCUUCAGGUCCGGUGGCUUCUGAUUCCCGGGCUCUGAACCUUCAAAUCAUGCUUACCAUUAACAAUGCUCCCCCCUCCCUUUUGCGAUCGAUUCGAUCUCGUGGCGCCUUUUACAGGACGCCAGUGUGAAUCCGAGCCGCGACUAAACGCUCAGGAUGUUGGAGGGGGAAUAAAGCGUGCGCUUGUCUCGGCCGCUUUGCGAUCGCGAGCCUCUGAUGCGCAUAACCUGCUGUUUUUAGAGCAAUUUUGUAUUGCAGGCAAUAUGGAUGGCUGGGGAAUGAUUCACUGAAUACCACCUCCCAAAUUCCUAACGGCUACCUGCCGGUGCGCUCUUUUGUCCCGGGCCACGCACGCUGAUCAGACUCCAGAGGAUGCCGUGCGCGAGCCAGAUGAGCAGAGCUCCGCAGGCUGGCCCCUGGCGUGGCGUGGCGCGCCGUGCGGUCGCCGGACGGAAUGGCAGUUUUGGCCUUGCCCCGGCGCCGGGGGCAUGGCCGGGACGGGCGGUUUUGUUGGGGCUUGGACGCACGCUGCCGGCCUCGCCGUCCCGUGUGUCACGGGUACUUGUGUUGUGCGGCACCGGCCUGGCCCCGGACACCGUGAUGAUGUUAACCUGACCUCGCCGCUGCUGGCUCUCCAGUCUGCCCACUUGCCCGAGUCCAUUCUGAAGCCAGUCCCAGGUAAAAAAAGCGACACAUCCAUACCGCCAGUGCCCAGUGGGGCUGGUCCUAGGCAGGGCAGGGCUAGCUUCUGCUCAUUGCUCAUGAUGUGCCUGCCCCAACCCUGAUAACAUCACAAGUCCAGUCCCAGUCGAGUCCAGUCAACCGUCAUGUCCUCCAGCUCAUCGUGCCCGGCCCGGCCGGCAUCAACGGGCCCCGAGCGUGCCCGUUCGUCGCCGGAUACAAACGCCGGCUUCGGUUACGUGCAACGUGCGGCGCGCAUGUGAGGGGCUCAUUGGCCCGACGCGACGCUGCUCAGUGCUCACACGAGACAAAUCCGGCGAGGGCGAGGCCAGGAAGGAGGCAGGCAGCGCGCCAUGGGGGGGUGGGUGAGGUGAUGCAAGCCACAUGCGGCCUUGCACGGCUGUUGCUGGGCAGCUCGACACAUCGAGGAGACCACACAUGGGGCCGGACGAGCCUGGCGUGCCCUAGAGAGCGCAGGGCAGAGAGCAUUGGAGUUUCAAGGGCGGCUUGGCUUGGCUAUGCUUUUGCUUGGAACGCACAAGUUUUUGUUAACUCCGUGCUCCAUACGAAGUUUCCUGUGUCUUUGCCAAUAAAAUGCUGCAAAAAUAUACACUUCGCGAAUAAAA